rnacentral:rRNA from 1 species
GAGUUUGAUCCUGGCUCAGAACGAACGCUGGCGGCGUGCUUAACACAUGCAAGUCGAACGUGAUUGGAAGCUUGCUUCCAUGAAAGUGGCGCACGGGUGAGUAACGCGUGGAUAACCUGCCCUGGUAUCCGGAAUAACAUCUCGAAAGGGGUGCUAAUACCGGAUAAGCCUACGGAGCCUUCGGUCUCUGCAGGAAAGGGUGGCCUCUAUUUAUAAGCUACCGUAUCAGGAUGGGUCCGCGUACCAUUAGCUAGUUGGUGGGGUAAUGGCCUACCAAGGCGACGAUGGUUAUCUGGUCUGAGAGGAUGAUCAGCCACACUGGAACUGAGACACGGUCCAGACUCCUACGGGAGGCAGCAGUGGGGAAUUUUGCGCAAUGGGGGAAACCCUGACGCAGCAACGCCGCGUGAGUGAUGAAGGCUUUCGGGUCGUAAAGCUCUGUCAGAGGGGAAGAAAUGGGUCUGGCUAAUAUCCAGAUUCCUUGACGGUACCCUCAAAGGAAGCACCGGCUAACUCCGUGCCAGCAGCCGCGGUAAUA